AGGCGUGAUGACGAGGCACUACGGUGCUGAAGCAACAAAUGCCCUGCUUCCAGGAAAAGCCUCUAAGCAUCAGGUAACAUCAAAUCGUACCCCAAACCGACACAGGUGGUCAGGUAGAGAAUACCAAGGCGCUUGAGAGAACUCGGGUGAAGGAACUAGGCAAAAUGGUGCCGUAACUUCGGGAGAAGGCACGCUGAUACGUAGGUGAAGUCCCUUGCGGAUGGAGCUGAAAUCAGUCGAAGAUACCAGCUGGCUGCAACUGUUUAUUAAAAACACAGCACUGUGCAAACACGAAAGUGGACGUAUACGGUGUGACGCCUGCCCGGUGCCGGAAGGUUAAUUGAUGGGGUUAGCGGUAACGCGAAGCUCUUGAUCGAAGCCCCGGUAAACGGCGGCCGUAACUAUAACGGUCCUAAGGUAGCGAAAUUCCUUGUCGGGUAAGUUCCGACCUGCACGAAUGGCGUAAUGAUGGCCAGGCUGUCUCCACCCGAGACUCAGUGAAAUUGAACUCGCUGUGAAGAUGCAGUGUACCCGCGGCAAGACGGAAAGACCCCGUGAACCUUUACUAUAGCUUGACACUGAACAUUGAGCCUUGAUGUGUAGGAUAGGUGGGAGGCUUUGAAGUGUGGACGCCAGUCUGCAUGGAGCCGACCUUGAAAUACCACCCUUUAAUGUUUGAUGUUCUAACGUUGGCCCCUAAUCGGGGUUGCGGACAGUGUCUGGUGGGUAGUUUGACUGGGGCGGUCUCCUCCUAAAGAGUAACGGAGGAGCACGAAGGUUGGCUAAUCCUGGUCGGACAUCAGGAGGUUAGUGCAAUGGCAUAAGCCAGCUUGACUGCGAGCGUGACGGCGCGAGCAGGUGCGAAAGCAGGUCAUAGUGAUCCGGUGGUUCUGAAUGGAAGGGCCAUCGCUCAACGGAUAAAAGGUACUCCGGGGAUAACAGGCUGAUACCGCCCAAGAGUUCAUAUCGACGGCGGUGUUUGGCACCUCGAUGUCGGCUCAUCACAUCCUGGGGCUGAAGUAGGUCCCAAGGGUAUGGCUGUUCGCCAUUUAAAGUGGUACGCGAGCUGGGUUUAGAACGUCGUGAGACAGUUCGGUCCCUAUCUGCCGUGGGCGCUGGAGAACUGAGGGGGGCUGCUCCUAGUACGAGAGGACCGGAGUGGACGCAUCACUGGUGUUCGGGUUGUCAUGCCAAUGGCACUGCCCGGUAGCUAAAUGCGGAAGAGAUAAGUGCUGAAAGCAUCUAAGCACGAAACUUGCCCCGAGAUGAGUUCUCCCUGACUCCUUGAGAGUCCUGAAGGAACGUUGAAGACGACGACGUUGAUAGGCCGGGUGUGUAAGCGCAGCGAUGCGUUGAGCUAACCGGUACUAAUGAACCGUGAGGCUUAACCUU
rnacentral:rRNA from 1 species